CGUCCUGGGGGCGGGCGGGCGGGCGUCAGGGACCCCCGUGUCGGUUCCUGCAGCUGGGCCCCCAGACUCCGACCGGGGACCCCAACUCGCCCCGCCCGCUACCGGCCAGGGGGGAAGCCAAGCCCCCUAGUGGCCACCUCAACUCCAGAGCAGUCGGGGCCCCAGGACCCCCAGAGUCAGGGCCCCAGGACCCCCAGAGUCAGGGCCCCAGGACCCCCAAAAGUCAGGGCCCCAGGACCCCCCAGAGUCAGGGUCCCAGGACCCCCAGAGUCAGGGCCCCAGGACCCCCCAGAGUCAGGGUCCCAGGACACCCAGAGUCAGGGCCCCAGGACCCCCAGAGUCAGGGCCCCAGGACACCCCAGAGUCAGGGCCCCAGGACCCCCAGAGUCAGGGCCCCAGGACCCCCCAGAGUCAGGGCCCCAGGACCCCCCAGAAUCAGGGCCGCAGGACCCCCCAGAGUCAGGGCCCCAGGACCCCCAGAAGUCAGGGCCCCAGGACCCCCCAGAGUCAGGGUCCCAGGACACCCAGAGUCAGGGCCCCAGGACCCCCCAGAGUCAGGGCCCCAGGACCCCCCAGAGUCAGGGCCCCAGGACCCCCCAGAAUCAGGGCCGCAGGACCCCCCAGAGUCAGGGCCCCAGGACACCCAGAGUCAGGGCCCCAGGACCCCCCAGAGUCAGGGUCCCAGGACACCCAGAGUCAGGGUCCCAGGACCCCCAGAGUCAGGGCCCCAGGAUCCCCCCAGAGUCAGGGCCCCAGGACCCCCCAGAGUCAGGGCCCCAGGACACCCAGAGUCAGGGUCCCAGGACACCCAGAGUCAGGGCCCCAGGACCCCCAGAGUCAGGGCCCCAGG